CACUGGUCAACAGAUUUGUUAGGCCUCACUAACCCAACUCAUUUUGCAAUGAAUUACAUUGUCUAAUUCAAUUUAAUGGCUAACUAUGUGUUGAUGUUAUAUGAGAUGUAGGGACAAGUUUAUCCAACUGUUAAAUGUAAUUAACAAUGUCCAAAAGAUGUGCGCUCAAUUCUGAACUACUCUUAGGAGCAACCGUUUAAUAUUACAAUAAUACAAUUGUGGUCUUGUUUCUGGACUAAUCUGGAUAUUAAAACAAUUUAUAAGAUAAUCAUUAUGGAGAUGACUAAUAUUAUCAUCUAGAACAUCAUUAUCAUUAUCUCUUUCCUUCCUGACUGUGCGAGGUUUGGAAUCACCUUUUUUUGAUGGGUUUAGUGAUUGUUUUAACCAUUGUUUAAACGAGAAGCUUCACAGCUGAUUUAGAAAUACAUUCUCUAUUCAUUUUCAUUUUUAUUGAGUUUUUUCAUUAUAGCUUGUGAAUUGAUCUUACCUAAAAUGAUUCAAUAAUGAAGAUAAUUAUAAUAACGAUGACAUUGAUGUAACUAAUGAUUUUGCUUGUUUUAGUGGAGUUAAAGUGUUGAAUAAUGAGGGAAUCCAUUAAUUUGUUUGCAAAGAUGUUCGUUUGCCAACUAUUGGAUCUUAAAUUGUUCAAGAAACCACGAAUCCUAAAGAAAUUACGUUUGAAAAUUAUGCUAAAGGACAAUUUAUGUUUUUGCAUUGCGAUACUGGAGAUCCUCCGAAAAAUUACAAAUUUUACCGACUUGGCUUCGAUAUCUUCUUGAUAAUCAAAAACUUCAAGCUUUCGAGCUAUUUACAUAUUGUUCAACCACCAUUGUCUUUCCUUACUCUCUGACAGGAUCCACUCUUGUUAACAAUAUGUUUUCUCAUUUUUCAUCACAGAGCAUCUUGAGUUUACUAUUAUAGUCUUCAAGCUGUUGAAGGAGAUAUUAAAAUGAUAUUCAAAAUAAAGAAGGACUUCCUCAGAGCCUGGUGAAUAUGAAAAUUCAAUUUUUAUGAGAUAUUUUCACGUCAAAGCAAAACUUGGUGCAUCAUGCUAAGUUGGUUGUAAAAAAUGAAUGAAAGAGGAUGCUACGCUAAUUUUUUUCUAGAUUAUAUCAUCCAUAAUCAUGUCAACUAUUCAUUGAAAGCUAUUUAAUCCUCUAAAUGUCGUUAUUCAUUUAUAGUAUCAUCCACCUACCUCCUUACGAGUAAGGUAAAUUAUUAAUAUUACGAUUGAUCAAAAGCUGACAAGAAAUGCAUGUCAGAAAAUCUAUUUUUUGUGUUUUCCCAUUUUCUAUUGCAAAAUCAACCAUUCGGAAAAUCAAUAUUUUCCUCCAAAAGACGGACAUUUCAGUAGGCAAACCCUUCUUUUUAAGGAUCAAUGGACUCAUAUUAUCCUAAUGGAAAGCAAUCAAAUUGACUGAAGCCAUCCUGAUGCUGAUGUUUGUAUCAUGAUUGGAAAUCAUCAACACUCUAUAAGGAAUCAUUUCUCGUUGAAUAACAUCAUUUGGCCUCUGUUCCUCAGCCUUAUUAAGUUAUAUUCAAUUACACUGCUGUUAUAAAUGUAUUUCAUUCCAGUUGUCCUGCUGCCAUCAAUACUUACGAAAACAAUAAUUAAUUCUCCCUGUUCUUUCUCAAGAUACUUUAAGGUAUGGUUCCUGUUUUUGUCAUAUUGGCAAUCAAUUGAGUAAAUUAAUACAAUCCCAAUGGCUGGUGAAAAGUGUGUCAAACUUGUAUCAUUUUAUCUGAACUCAUUUUUUACAUUUUUAAAUAUUUAUAAUAUUUUUAAAUAUGUAAGGUUCAUUGCGGAUAGGGAACUAGAAACUAAGGAUUACUUGCUAUUAUUUCAUACAAGUUGAUCAAAAUGCUCGGAUGCAAGGCUCGAAUCAUUUAUAUCAAUUAAUAGCAUCAAAUUAUAAACGUAAAUAGUUUUGAGUGUCAGCUUCUCUCUAUGAUUGAUACGCAUCUACAUUGAAUAUAAUCAAAAACUAAUCAAUAUCAUGAAAUGAGCUUUAUUUACUGCUAAUACUUAAUAUCCAAAUUUUGUGACUAAGUGUAGAUCAAUCACCAACUUGAACCAAGACACCAUAUCAAUCAUUAGAAAUGGACAACACUUGAAAUAGUUUAUAAUUGACUAUGUGAUUGGAUGCAAUAUCAAUGAUAAGCUGACCAAUUAUUCAUUGUAUUCAUGAAUUGUAUGAAUUUUCAUCAACUAAUUGUUGAGAAUAACAUGAAAGAUUGUCUUUUGAAUUUGAUGAAAUCAGUUAUAAAUCCAGCCUUAUAAUACCAUCAACCUCACAUGAUGACCUUAAGUAACAUAUUGAUUUUAUGUCCUGUUGUGACCUGGAAUUUGUCAUUAUUAUUUUCUCUCAUGAUAAUGGAUUAUAAUUCAGCAACAACUUUUAUUCAUCCACCAACUUUCAACACCAUUCACUAAAUCGAUUCUUUAUUGAUUUAAUAAUACUCAUGAGCAUGUCUCAUAAUUUCACUUAAACCCUUAUCAUUUACAACUCAAUAUAACUCGCCUGUUGAUCUUUA